CCUACGGGUGACAGCAGUGAGGAAUAUUGGUCAAUGGGCUUACGCCUGAACCAGCCAAGUCGCGUGAGGGAAGACUGCCCUAUGGGUUGUAAACCUCUUUUGUCGGGGAGCAAGGCCCGCCACGUGUGGCGGGAAGGAGAGUACCCGAAGAAAAGGCAUCGGCUAACCCCGUGCCAGCAGCCGCGGUAAUACGGAGGAUGCGAGCGUUAUCCGGAUUUAUUGGGUUUAAAGGGUGCGUAGGCGGAAGGUUAAGUCAGCGGUAAAAUGUCGGUGCUCAACACCGGCCUGCCGUGGAAACUGGUCUUCUUGAGUGAGCGAGAAGUAUGCGGAAUGCGUGGUGUAGCGGUGAAAUGCAUAGAUAUCACGAAGAACUCCGAUUGCGAAGGCAGCAUACCGGCGCUCAACUGACGCUGAGGCACGAAAGCGUGGGGAGCGAACAGGAUUAGAUACCCCGGUAGUC
rnacentral:rRNA from 1 species